rnacentral:lncRNA from 1 species
UCCCCACUCGGCGCGCAUGGCAUCUGCUCCACUCACGGCGGCGGCGGCGGCGCGCCUCAUCACUCGCGUCAAGUCCCCCGUUGCUGUCGGCUUACAGCGAGAAGGAGUGGGUCGGAGCUGCUCUACGCCGCGUCGCUUCAGGCCGGCGCGCACGCGCUCAUCUUGGAGCUGCCCAGCUGCCGUCCUCCUUCAGAUCUGGCGGGCACAUGGGCAUGCCCGCGGGCAAGGCAUACCCGCGGAUAGCGGGCGUGGGCAUAGGAUGGCGCCCGUGACGGGUGGCGGGCGCGGGCACGGGCACAAAAUUUUAUUCGCGGGCGCGGACGUGCGAGACUAGUAUCCGCGGACAUUUUGCCCGUUGCCAUUUUUAGGCGCUGGUGGGUUGGCAUUUGGGCCUUGUUUAGUUCCGAAAAGAUUUCGGAUUUUGGUAUUGUAGCAUUUUCGUUUGUUUGUGACAAAUAUUAUUCAAUUAUGGACUAACUAGGAUUAAAAGAUUCGUCUAGCGAUUUCCAGCUAAACUGUGUAAUUAGUUUUUGCUUUCGUCUAUAUUUAAUGUUUUAUGUAUGUGCCGCAAGAUUCGAUGUGAUGAAGAAUCUUGAAAAUUUUUUUGUUUUUUGAACUAAAUAAGGCCUCGGCAAUGUCACCCGACGACGGCAUCGGCGUCGGCGUCGGCGUCGGCUAGCUGCGUGCGUGCUGACAUGUGCUAUGCGUCUCUCAGAGCGCGCGCCUGCGGCCUGCGCCGGCCGGGGAGAAAGGAUGACGGCGGCAGCCACGAGAUCGUCUGUUCCAUGCUGCAGGCUGCGGCUGCUGCUGCACAUGUCGAUUCAGACGUGCAGAAGCCCUGUCCCCUGCACGGCAUUGAUGUUACAGUCAUCUCCAUGCCUGUAGGCUGCCGCAAGUGCUCAACCGGCGUCCGUCCGGGAAUCCAUCUCCUCCAUCGUUGAACUUUUACCCACCAAUUUUCGGAACGAUAGCACUUUCAUUUUUAUUUGAUAACUAUUAUCUAAUCAUAAAGUAACUAAGUUUAAAAGAUUCUUCUCAUGAUUUACAGGUAAAUUGUACAAUUAGUUUUUAUUUUCGUCUACAUUUAGUGUUUCAUGCAUGUACCGCAAAAUUCAAUGUGACAGAGAAUCUUAAAAAGUUUUUGGUUUUUGGGUGCUUGUUUAGGGCCUGUUUUAGAUUGGCAACGAAAAAUUUUUGGGUGUCACAUCGAAUGUAUCGGAAGGAUGUCGGGAGGGGUUUUUAGAAACUAAUAAAAAAAUAAAUCACAUAGCUCGUCAGGAAACUGCAAGACAAAUUUAUUAAGCAUAAUUAAUCUGUCAUUAGCAUAUGUGGGUUACUGUAGCACUUAAGGCUAAUUAUGGAGUAACUAGGCUUAAAAGAUUCGUCUCGCGAUUCUCAACUAAACUGUGUAAUUAGUUUAUUUUUUAUCUAUAUUUAAUGUUCCAUGCAUGUGUCCAAAGAUUCGAUGGGAUGGAUGAAAAAUUUUUGGGUGGGGAACUAAACAGGGCCUAGUUCCGAUAGCACUUUCGUUUUUAUUUGAUAAACAUUAUCCAAUCAUGGACUAACUAGUCUUAAAAUAUUCAUCUCGCGAUUUACAGAUAAACUGUGUAAUUAGUUUUUAUUUUCGUCUACAUUUAGUGUCUCAUACAUGUGCGGUAAAAUUCGAUAUGACGAGAAAUCUUGAAAAGUUUUUAUUUUUUUUAGGUGAACUAAACAAAGCCUCAGUACUGCUAGUGGUCACGUACAGUAAUCUAUAUGGAGAAAUUGGCAGCAUCAAAGAGUUCGUUUUGAGUCGAAGAUUGUUUAUUGUGAAGAGCAUAAAGUUUUGGUAAAGUAAAAUGUGCUCUUAAUAGCACAUGUCCUCAUCAUGUGGACUACUUGUUUUAAGAUUCGUGCUCAACAGGCGAUAGACAUACGGCUGGAUAUCAAACCAGCUCGGGUCGUUAGUGGCUCGGCUCGUUAUAGCUCGACUCGUUAUGGCUUGGCUCGUUAUACAAAUGAGGUAGAAAGCUGGCUCGGCUCAGUUUGUUAGUGAGCUCGAGCAGCUCGUUUGGCUCGCGAGCCAAAUCGUAAAAACACAGAACAAAGAAACUAUAUAUUUAUAAAAACAAUUGAACAACAAAUACAUCACAUACAUAUUUAAAAUGAACUAAACAAAAUACUUAUAGCUUUAACAAUUCAAAAAAACUAGAGUUUUGUCCAACUAGCCCACUACAAUCAUGACCGUAACUACAUGAUAGUUAUACUCAUAUAGUUUAAGCAUCAUCCAUUGAUGAAUAAAGUUAGGCAUGUAGCCGAGCCAAUUUUAGUUGUUAGCAUGAUAAUUGACUGGUUUGUUAUAACUCGCGAGUAAUUCACGAGCUGACUUAAACUGGCUCGUUAUAAAAUGAGCUGACUUAUUAUAAAACAAGUAGAGCUCAAGGCGAGCUAUUAACGACCGAGUUACAAAUUUUUUUUAUCCAAAUUUAGAUAGACAGACCCUCAGAGGCAAAGAAACUGCCUUCCAAAGUUUCCAGGUUUUUUGGUCGAAAAAAGGAAAACGAAAAAAGGUCCAUAGGGCCGGCUGUCAGCUGCUCCCGUGGGCGGCCAUCCGCCUGCGGCGCGGCAUGCAGGUGGAGGUGGCGCCACCUUUCCUUGUGAAAAGGACCAUACCUCGAAUGUGCCGAGAAACUUUGGGCCAUGUUUAGUUGCCAAAAGUUUUCGUUACUGUAGCAAUUUCGUUUAUUUAUGACAAAUAUUAUCUAAUUAUGGAUUAACUAGAAUUAAAAAAUUCGUCUCGUAAUUUACAGUUAAACUAUGUAAUUAGUUUUUGUUUUCGUCUAUAUUUAAUGUUUCAUACAUGUGCCACAAGCUUCGAUAUGACGAAGAAUCUUGAAAAUUUUUUGGUUUUUAGGUGAACUAAACAAGGCCUUGGUCGCAGUCGCAGGCCUGGCACUGUUUGGAUGCAAGCCUCGCAUGCAUGCAACAUGCAAGAGGCACGGCUACCGCGCCUGCGCCAGCAAGCAUCCCAGCCCAAAGUUCGGUAGAUCUGCACGGCUACACAGUUUCACCAAUUUUGCAUUAGGGCCUGUUUAGAUUGAGGAUGAAAAUUUUUUGGAUGUCACAUCGAAUGUGUCGGAAGGAUGUCGGAAGGGGUUUUUAGAAACUAAUAAAAAAAUAAAUUACAUAGCUCGUUAGGAAACUGCAAGACAAAUUUAUUAAGCAUAAUUAAUCUGUCAUUAGCAUAUGUGCGUUACUGUAGCACUUAAGGCUAAUCAUGGAGUAACUAGGCUUAAAAGAUUCGUCUCGCGAUUCUCAACUAAACUGUGUAAUUAGUUUAUUUUUUUAUCUACAUUUAGUGUUCCAUGCAUGUGUCCAAAGAUUCGAUGGGAUGGAUGAAAAAAUUUUGGGUGGGGAACUAAACAGGGCCUUAGUGUGGGUGUAACUAAUACAUGUUAGGCCUUUUAUUUGGACGUAUGUGUAUCUACUUCAAUCCAUACAAGCUGGAGUGAAUUGAGAUAAGUACAUGCACAUCUAAACAAGGUCUUAAUGACUUAAAGACUAAUCUCACCGACCUUUGCUUAAAGAUUAAUCUUGUUCGUUUAGGCUUAUCAAUUGAAUAUAUCAACCAUUCAAUAAUUCAGUUAACAAUACUUUCUGUCAUGGCUUAUCAACCAAACGAACAAGUAGAGAUAUACAAUAACAUAAUAAAGUAACUAAUUAUAUAUAUGUAUACAAAAUAUUUUGAUCAGAAAGCAGUGAUCAAAGUUUAAGCUUUAGAGAUGGAGGUAACGGGACGCGCCGUACGUCAUUCGAUCCGCCCGUUCCUAGCUAGGGAAGAGACGAUGGUGGAUGGAAAAAGCAGAGCUCCCUGCCCUGCCGGAGCAAAGGAGGCCAAGCCGGGCUGCGCCGCCGUGCGGGAGAAGGAUUUUUAAACAAGUGCCGGAAAGGGUUAAGCCAAGCACGCGCUUUGCAUGAAAGCGGCAGACGCUGCAACAAGUGGUAGCACUAGUUUAUCGGCGAUGGAUCCAUGCUUAGUACUACGGCACGGCCACGGAUUAGUAGAUUAAUCCACCCUUGCCGCGAUACGCAGUACGGCGGGCUCCGAAAGCGCGGCCGCCGCUGAUUGGCCGCGCGGCUCGCUGCCUGUCCAGUCGCCAUUGGCCGUGCCGGGAGACACGUUUCGCCCGGCCGGGGAGCUGCACAGGACGGACGACGGAGACCGGGGGUUGUUGCCGGUGCCGGGCGCGCGGCUUGUUGAGGCAGGCAGGCAGGCAGGGGCAAGCAGGACGGGGCGGAGGUGGACGUGGACUUGUCGACCGAUCGGCGUGGACGUGGAGACAUGUCGAGUUGUCGACGAAGGUCAUGGGCCCCGUCGUCGCUCCCUCUCAAAACAAUCAUGAUGUGUACUCGUAUAGUCGUAUGGACCAGGCCAAGCACUGUAUGCCAUGGUACAGUACGCAUUGGUCCAUCUAUUUAGCAGACUUUGCCCCGGCAGACUGAUGACUGAUCGCUGAUGGUAGCCACCACGGCAACAGUGGCAGCCUCGUCGUACUCGUCGUCCUCUGUAAAGUGACGCCACGGUAGGUACGCGGAGUGGACAAGCAUAUAACACCUCUCCUGUCAAUCGGCACCACUAAUCAUCUGAUAAAAGGGGAGGAUUAGGGACGUGACGUUCGAGUUGAAGCAGCGUCUGAACAAAACCCCGCUUUUGCUUACCAGGCAGGCCACGGAUGCAGCUGAGACUUGAGGAAACCUGUCUGAACGGGAACGGAAUUGGCAGCGCAAUCAUUUGCACUACCAUGAUUCCCCAUACCCAAACCGGAAAAGGUAGAUAACGAUGUGCCGCUACGGAAUCGCGACAACUCCUGAUUAGCUGAUGACUGAGAGGAGAAUAUAUGGAUCGAUCAUCGAUGGAUGCAACCACAGCUGCAGAUGUAGUAGUAGAAAAGAGAGGUGGAUGGCAACACCCUAUCAUUGGUGCCAACACCUGCUUUCUCCGUGCGCAGCAACGCAAAACACCCUGCACCUGCAUCUGCAUUGAACACUGCGUGUCGCAACCCGAUCCGGCUAUGCCUGUUCAUUUCGCUUUAAUUUAGGCCCUGUUUAGUUCCUAAAAAUUUUCAAAAUUUCCCGUCACAUCGAAUCUUUGGUCAUAUGCAUGAAGCAUUAAAUAUAGACAAAAAUAAAAAAUAAUUGCACAAUUUACCUGUAAUUUGUGAGAUGAAUCUUUUGAGUCUACUUACUGGACAAUGUAUGUCAAAUAAAAACGAAAGUGCUACAGUACCCAAAAAUUAAAAAUUUUACAAACUAAACAAUGCCUUAGCUGAUACAUAUGUUGAUUUAUUGUGAAAGAAAAAUAUACUUUAAAAUACUGCUAAAGUAGUUCAAAUAAACAGGGCCUCGAGAACCUUUUUUUUUAUCAUCAUAAUAUCAUGGUCGGUACGCUCCACCGAGCCACAGGUCAUCUCAAGCAGGGAGAGACAUGCGAAUGGCGUCAAAUCAAAGGGAAUGAAUGAUUGUGCGGCUGGUUGGCGUCACCGAUGGGCACUCGCGCACCUGCGAGACGUGACCUUCACGCCUCACUCAUGGGGUCAUCAUCAUCAACUGAUGGCUGCUGCUGAUAAAUGCGAUCAACCUCGAGUGCAUCGUCAGGAUCGCAACCCGACCUCAAAAGGCUAUGGGUUUGGAUAGCAUAGAUAGCAAUCACGCCGACAUAUAUUCGGUGAUGGAGAGAACUCCAAUAACACAAAUAAAUGUUGUCUCGGCAAGAGAAAACGAACUUUUGAGUUCAGGGCUGACAAGCAUUGCAUCUCUCACAAGUCACAAAAGCAGCAGCCAAGCCAGAAUAACCACUUCUCAUUUUUCACAGCUGAAGCUUUUUUACAACUUUGCUUUCGCCUUGGGAGGGGCAUGGUCCUCGGCGGCCACCAGAAUUUCACCGUACAGAUCCGCACCGGGUACCCACCAGAAUUUCAUUUUCAAAUUACUGUGCUCACUCUUAUAAACGAAGCAUGGUAAAAACCUCCAGGUGUUAACCUUGAUGCACAGCAGAUGUGUCGGAAUUCAAACUAUUUCUCAAGGGCAUGAUGUAGUACACAGUUUUCUUUUCAUCUGGGAUUAACCCGGCGGCAUGGCGUCUGACUUGUUUCAGAUAGAGAUGUCUUACAAGGGAUCUAAUGCAUGUUAGCUGGGCUGGUAAUAACAGAUACAGGCUCCUUAGCUAUUGCUGUUUUUCCUGUUCCAGGAUAGGCAAUUAGGGUCACCUUGGGGCCUGUAAGUUCAUCAAGUGCGAGAGGAGUUAUAUAGCUUAAAAAUGACCCCAAAAAACAACAGCAUGAUUUUUUUUUAAAAGCCUCAGCAGGAGGUUCCGUCUAUUCACAUGCAAAUGCACAGCCUGUGUGUUUGGUUCUUAUGAACAAUAUAACAAGCAGAAACAUAGAUAACACUGAGCCUAUUCUUUACCUUGGGUACUUCACAUGAAUCAGAGCAAAGAGGAUUGAUAUGAAGAUGCUCAAUGAACCAGUGACAAUAUAAGCAUGUCCAAGGAAGUUAUUCUUGCCACCUAGCCAGGAUGCAGUCGAAAGAACUAUGCUUUUCUUUCCACCAAAAGUGUAGGUGUUGUAAUUAUUUCCUAUGAGAAUGGUUAUGGUCUCAUCGGCAUGUAGAUCGUCUUCAAUUACACCAUACAGCUUUCGAAACUUGGGAAGAGCAGAAGUCCGCAUCCACACAAUAAGAUCUUCCUGCUCACUCAGCUGAAAAAAAAAGAUGUAAAAUGUUCAGCUAACUUAAAACAAGCUGUUAAUUUGACAAUAUAUUGACUAAAGGAAAAGUGUACAUUUGGCAAUCCUAUUAGCUACUAAGCAUUGAUCAACCCAUCAACAAUACUUAUUAGUGUCUUAGUUUAUCACAGUACUCACUGGGACAGUAGGGUCGAGUUUUCCCCCUCCAAUCAAGGUUCCAUUCUGAAAGUUGGAAGGAAACACAUCUCUGCCAAACUUAUGCUCCCGAUCACUCUUCCAUGAAAUGUUUUUUCUGUUGACCUUUAUUUCCUUGGACCCACGAGUAAAAUCAUAGGUAUCAUUGAAUAAGCUCCAGGCAAUCAAGCCGCAGGGGACAAUUGGGGAACCAUUAUUAUCCCACUGAACAGGACUGCACGACUCAGCCGUGUAUUUCGCCCCAAACCGCAGCUGUUUAUCACUUCUACUUUUGAUAUACCUGUUCAUCAUUGAUAAAUUUCUUUUUUCAGCAAGAUCAAUAAAGAACAUUACUCCCAUCCAACAGAUACAAUGGCCACGAACCUAUAUAUUAAAAAGAAAGAUAAAAUGGCCAUGAAACUAAAUAAAUGAUGUUAUAACUACCUGCGAUGAUUCUGAUAGAAAUUCUCGAGUUCAUAAUAAACAUAAAUUGGUGCUCUCAUGUGUUCCAGAACCUGCAGAUGUCCAUGCCACAGUGAAAUAGAAAUUCAAAGAGAAGAAGAAAUAUAAUAGUCUGAUGCAAUAUCAGGGCGCCAAACUGAACUUUUAGGAAUUUUAGCUAUGUGAAUCACAGAAGAAGAAAUAUAGUCUGCAGAAAGUGGACAAAAUAAAGAUAACUUAUGUUACAAUCACAUAACAAUUUAACCUUCGCUUGCAGAGUACAGUUCUUUAAAAUCGAGCUGUCCUUAAUAUAAGCUUGCCUAUUUCCUCUGUAAGCAUUAGGUACACAGUCAACAUCAUAGCGGUGAAUGAUUUCUGCAACCUGAACCAGAAUAAUGAGCACAUCAGUUAUACCUAGCGAUAUAAAGAUUAAAGGAAACAUCAGCAUCUACCAGAGGGAGCAGAACAAUUACAUGAUUUGAACUUUGGAGACAAAGAAGCCCAAAAGGUACGAAAAUGAUUCCAAUAAUCAAGAACAUGGCUAUUAACUGAAAACAGUGAAGUAAAAUAUUAUCAAUUGAACUACAUAUGAAACAGUUUGUGUCAAACCUGUCAAUAGGAUCAGAGCAAACUUACACAUCCAGGUGUCAUUGCUGGCUUCCAAGCUGGGAGAUUCUGCUGGGUGAACCUAUAGAAAACUGCAAAACAAACAAACUUUUUUUAAAAAAACUGGACCAGCAACAUGGUCAACUCUAUGGUGUACUAAACUAGAACAGCACUGCAACACAACAAUAAAUGGAAAAUACAUAUAAUCUGAAUUCUCAAAGUUUGUAAAAGAAAUCGACCAUAUAAUCUUCUUAUGUCCAGAUUCAGUAGUUGCUAGUCAAGGAAACACAAGUUAAUACAACAAAAUCUGCCUGUAGUUGCAUCAGUGUUGUGUUCCACGUGAUUCUGAAAAAUGAUGAUACAGAUCGCGAGUCCAGAUGGUGACUAACUUUAUGCCCACCAUGAUUAUUAGCUAAAGUUCAUUUAUUGUUAGAAAGCCUCGACAAAUGAAUACUGUUCGGAUAAAUGGAUUGUAAUUGUAAUGGCUAGAGAGACAAACCCCACCAAAGCUAGUAACCUCCGUAACUCGUAAAAGCAAAUCAACAGCGCGAACUGCAAUUUCACGCUCGAAUUCUGCGUUUAUGCAAGCUCAGCCAAGAGCUACUAACCCUAGCAUCUGAGGCUACUAUCUCCCACAGACCACACCGCUCAUGAGCGUGGAAACCUAAUCAGAGAGUGACUCACCUCCCGAUCUUGCCGGCGGGAAGGCGCGCCUCGUCGCGGCGCCGGACGCGGAGGUGCUGGCUUCGUCCAUCUCCUCCCGCCACGAGCUCGCUCGCUGCACAAACCCUCGUCAGCGGCUCGCCGGAGCCCGGGGGAUCCGACCGCAGAACAAGAGUGGAGAGUCCACUUGCUGCUCGAUGAAGAUGAGCCCAUGGGCCUAUCUAAUUCACGUAGGCCUCAUGGGCCGAAUUCCCGGGGGCUCGAAUUGACGACGUGAGAUGGGGACUAACGGUUGAUGUGACGGCCGCAUCAAUUCGCCGCCCGGCGCGUCGCGGUCGGGGGAAUCUUUUCCCCAUUUCGUUUCGCCCCGGAGCGAGAGGCACGAGCGCCACAGAGAGUGGGAGAUGCGAGAGGAGGUGAGGAGCUCGUCGGGGGCGGUGGCAGAAACGCCGAUGGCCGUCGCCCGGUCCUCGUCGCCGCCGCAGACCCCGGUGGCCAGGUACGGUGGCGGUCGCGCCUCGGGACCUCUGUACAUUUGGUUCUAGAUUCUUAUUAGGUGUAGGCGCUGCUGCUUUGUUAGGGAAUCAGUGUCUUAGUGCUUGGAUUGGUCGUGAGGGUGCUGGUUCUGCGUAAGAAAGGUGGAUUUUACAUGGCCCAAAAGACCUAUUGUAGGAUUCGAGGUAGGAUUCCGCAGGCCGUGGCUCAAAUUUGAUUAUGGAAUUUUGAUUGGAUUCUAGGGCACUCCUGUGUAGGGGAAAGCAUGCGAUAUUUGAUGGCCUACAUCAGCUAUAGGUACAUGGUUGGUGAAAAUCAAGUGUAGCUGGCUGAGCUUUACUUCUCCUUUUGGCUGCAAAACGCCAGGAAUUGAGCUGCUAGAUUGGUUUCUGCUGCUGUAUAGUGUUACAGAUUAAUAAACGGUGACAUUGAUGACAUAAUUCUGAGCUUACUCGUGUUUGCCACCAAAUAUUACGAUUAGGGGGACAUACUGCAUUUGUGCUGACUUCACACUCAUGAGUUGCUGUAUCUACAGCCUGCAACUGCCAGCUGCCACUGUUAAUAGCUGCCGAACGGGUUUUGUCUUCAUGAUAUUAUUGUCUAAUGCUGGUUUGGUCACAGUAUUGUGAUUGAGAUUUGAGAAGGAUUGCAGUUUGCAAAAAUCAGUGGAGAACUGUGGCACAUUUGAUGGUGUGGUAGCAUAGGAUUGAGCCACUGGAGCUCAUAUUGGCCUUUAACUUAAGAUCUAGGUAGAUCAUUCUCAAUUUAUUUUGUGAUGUUAGAUCUGUAACAUUGUGCUAUAGACUGUAGUUUCUAUGAUUGAAGGCUAAAACCUGAAAAUAGUUAUUUUAUUUGGUUGACAAGCUAAUGUGUCAUGGCUGGUACCAUGCCAACGGCAUGAACAAGUCUACAGCUGGCAUAUAGUAUUUGGUGUUUGUAAGUCGUAUGUGUGCAUGGGCCCACAGGCGGGGCUGGAUAUCUAGCCAGCUCGGCUCGUUAGUGGCUUGGCUCGUUACGGCUCGGCUCGUUAUACUAACGAGCUAGAAGGUUGGCUCGGCUCGGCUCGUUAGUGAGCUCGAGCAGCUCGUUUGGCUCGCGAGCCAAAUCAUAAAAAUAUAGUACAAAAAGACUAUAAAUUUAUAAAAGCAAUUAAGCAACAAAUACAUCACAUGCAUACUUAAAAUGAACUAAAUAAAAUACUUAUAGCUUUAACAAUUCAAUAAACAAACUAGAGUUUUGUUCAACCAGCCCACUACGACCACUGUAACAUCCCAGAUUUUCACGAAAACCAAAAAUACGAGUUUUUUUAAAAUUUUUCCUGUAAUCGUGUGAAUCAUAUAGUAUUUAGGUCAAACUCGAUCCUAACCCGCUAACAAAUCGUGGCAUACAUAUAGAUUUGUUUGUAGACGGGUCGUCUUAAGUUGGAUCUUGUUAGGGUUUUGAGUUUCUUUUGGAGUGCACAAAUCCGUAGCAAAGCCUUCCCGAAUUUUCGUUGAGCCUAUCUCAAAGGCGAAGCGGAUCCCUUCUCAACCUUUUCGUUGGAGUACGUCUCAAACUCCUUUUGAUCCUUUUGAACUCUCCCUGAAAUUCCCUUCUCUCUCUCUUUGAUCUUAUCUAAAUCUCCUCCGCAAAAUCUAUCUUAAAUUCAUGGUAACUCAUCUCAAUCUCUUGUUGAGUUCUCUCUCGAAUGCCCCUCAUUUUUUUUUCCCUUUUAAAAUUUCUCUCAAAGCCCUUGAGUCAAAUUCGUAAAUGGAAGAUCCAUCUCCUUUCAUGGGCCAAUUCUUUCCUCCUCUUCCUCCCUCCCUCGGCCCAGCCUGGGCACCCUUCCCCCCUGUCCGGCCCAACUCGCGCGCGCCAAGGCCCAGUCUGCCCCUUACCCCCCAGCCAGGUCGGCCCACCUCGUUCCCCCCUGUCUCCCCUCCGAGGCCCAGCUCUUUCCUUGGCCCAUCCAGUGCCGCGCUGGCCCAUUCGCUUCUCCCUGCUCUGGCCCAAGUCGUGGCCGGCCCAGCAGCCAGCGCCCCAGCCCCAACCCUAGCAGGGAGCUGGACACCUGAGCCCCAGAGCCGCCGCCGCCGUCGCCCAAGGCAGAGCCGCGCCAGCGCUCGCGCCUGCCACGGCUUCCGUGCGACCCCGCAUCCACCGCCGCGUGUCCCGCUGCGGACACGGAUGCCGAGGAUGGCCGCAGCGUCCCUGGAGCCCUAGCGCCCGCGCUAUAAAAGCGGCAGCAGCCGCUCGCCCUUCUUCUACCCGCCGCCGCCGCCAUAGCCGACUCGAAGCUCCGCACCCUCACCAAGCGCCUCGACCCCGACCUCGCCCCGCGCACCUGCACCACCGAGCUCGGUCACGCCGUGACGCCGUCGAUCGCCACCACGAUGUCGCCCGCAACUGCGUCGCCCGAGCGUCUCGUCCUCGGCACCACCUCGGCACUCGCACCGCGCCCUCGCCGAGCAGCAGCAGAGCCGCGGCCAUGGCCUCGCCCUGCCGACGCCGCCAAGCACCACUGCGCCCGCCUCGGCCGUGCCCCUACCUCUGUGUCAAGCUUCAUCACCACGCGGGGGUCAGCCGCGGUGCCGUCCUCGCUGCGCAGCGGCCUCGCCCGGCGACGUCGAGCCCGCUGCCCUCGCCGCGUCGAGCUUCGACCACGGCCGGCCGCGUGGACGCCACAGCCCGGCCGAGCCUCUGCCUCGCCACCGUGGGAGUCGCCGCGGCCACGACGCCUUCAGCCCCGGCGCCCCUCCGCGUCUACGACGGUGUCGACCGCGAGCCCCCGUGCUGUCAUGGAGCUUACCUCGUCGAGCCGACACGCCGUCGACAGAGCCACCGAUGCCGCGCGCCGGGCACCAGAGCAAGCCCCUUCGCCGAGCACCCGAUGCGCCCCGUUGCCGCGGCCACGCCAGGACAUCGCCAUGGUCACCGCGUCAGCGCCGGCCGUGGUGAUCGCGACCCCGACCACGACGCCGUGCUCAUCUUGCCACGGUGACCGCGAACUUCCCUUUUGCUGGCUGCCGAUCACCACUGAACGUGCAGCAGCGGCAGCACCACCCCGCGCGAAGCUCUUCUCUGCCGCCGGUGAGCCACCAGUGCCCAAGUGCCCUCCUUGCUAGCUUUCUGUUUUGCCUUGCUGAAACCGGCCUUUGUGCCGUGUUCUUCACUGUACAGGGAUGCUGCACCCAUGUCGUGCCACUUGCCGGAGCCGUUGGACUUAACAUCGCUGCUGUUGGAGCACCGAACCUCGAGGCGUUGCCGAACCCCAAGACUUCUCUUUCAGAUGCACCCCGGCCACUUGCAGCAAGCCGCGACCAAGCUGUAGAAGCCCUCUGCCAUCCUCGCCCGCAAGGUCGAACCUUGAACCUAGCCGACAUCGUCUCCGACGUUGGCAAAACCCUUGCCGUUCAUUUCGAUAUCAUACAUGCCAUGUAUCUUGCUCAUGUAUGCAUUAUGAUCUAUCUGCAUGACCAUUUGUUCAUCUAUCCAUGUCAUGCACUUGUUACAUGAUUAUUCAUCUCAUAUCUCGUUUAAUGCGCGAUCUAUCUUCGUCUAUAUCUCUGCCUGUGCCGUGCCUUCGUGCCGGUCUAUUUAUCUAUCUCUAUCUCUUUUGGUCGCUAUGGAAAUGUGCUACUCCGAGUCGUCGUCUUGUUAGUGUUGCAAUUUGUGCUUUUGUUCUUGUCGUUGUGGACCGUGCCGUCGAGCCGGUUGAGAGAGUGACGUGUUUGGAUGUUGCGAUCGCGAGUUCGUCUCGCCAUGGCCGUAAUGCCGAGCAUGUCCCUUCUCUCGUAUUUCUGUUGUUCCUUCUUUUGUUAUUUGCAUGCCUGAGGACCGAGCCUUCGAGCCGGUUAGGGAAAAUGGUGGAGCGAUCGAUCAUUUCGAUCGUGGGUUCGUCCCGCCGUGAUCGCGAUGCCGAGCGUAACUCAUUCCCUGUGAUUAGUUGUCUUCGCUGCGCUACGGUCGUUAGCUCCUAUUCCCGUCCCUCGAACGUGGUCAUCGUGGACUCGAUGUCGUUAACGACGCGGUUCUUACCCGCACACUCGAGACCUAAAUGACCUAGUCUAGUGGGAUACGAAUUAGGGGACAACCUUCGUAGAACUAUCGGAGAAACUCGUUAGGUGAAGCUCAUGGCCGCGAGUCCACCUUGCCAUGGCCAUUGGGCUUUACCCCAUUUCUCCCGUGUUUAUCCUAACCACCUCGUAUGCUUGUACCACUUCGACUAUAGCAUUCCCUCGGACCUAGCGGUGACAACCACAUCGCUAUGGGCCUUAGGAAUAGCCUUGUGCUGAUUUAGAUGCACAGUCAUGGUGCCCUACAAGUGGGUUGGGAUCGUGGGGUCGUAUUCCUUUUAUCCAACCGUCGUUGUUCCAUGAUGAGUUGGUCGAAAGAGUAUGGACUCCAUUCUUCUUCUCUCUUGUUCUCAAUCCCGUCGAUCCAGUAAGAUGGGGAUUAAGCCCCUUUUGCUUGUUUGAUGUUUUGUUUCCAAUCCCGCGAUUCCCGCCGUUGCUAUGGCGAGCGGAUCAAAGGAAGGUGAAUCCCGUGUCUUUUUCCGCCUUUUUGGUUCUUCGUGCUUAAACUCUUGUAUGCUUGUACCUAUAUCGAUCGUAGCAUUUCUUUGGUUCUUGUGGUGACAACCGCACCGCAAAGAACCUUAGUGAUGUCAUAGUGCAUUUAGUGCACCUAGGUUGUGGUACCCUACAAGUGGUUUGAGUACUCGUGUUCCUUAUGUGUCACUCUUUCUAAUCCCCCGUCUCUUACCAUGGCGAGUGGAUGGGAAGAAGUAGACCACUCCCCUUUUCUUCUUUCCUUGUUCCACCCUCUCUUGGCUCUCGCCAACUACAAUGGCGUAUGGAUUGAGAGAGACCGGAACUUCGCGUGCUCAUAGUCUUUUCGAUUCUUGUCGAUCUCCGUGAUGCUUGGAUCGAAGAGCCACUACCUAUGGUGUUUGCUUAUGAUAAGUUAGGGUCUAAGCCAAUUAUUAAAGUCGUACAGGUUGACUUAGUCGACCCAGGAAGUACCGGCUAGGCUAAGACUCCAGCUUGUACUUAGUGAACAACCAUUCCCAUUUCUUUUAGCCCAAAGAUCGGACAUCCGCCGAGAGGGCUAAGCCGUUUUCCUUUCGUUGCUCUUUUAGUGUAGUUGUUCCUCAGUGUUAUGUCGUCUCUUUUCGUAGUCUUUCGAGGUCUAGUGGUUUGAUUGUUUCGCCUUGUUUGUCGCUUUCGAGGUAGUCGCUUCGAGGUUAGCGUUGAUCGGACCAGGACCAGUUGAAGGAAGAACAUGUAGAAAGGAGGAUCUUGGAUGAGUACAACUACAAGUGAACUGAGGAUCUUGGAAAUGUCACUCGACAGGUGCCACGUCCCACCCAACCUCGUAGAAUCCUAUUAGACAUGCAAUAUUAUAGAUGCUAGUGCUUUACUUUUAUGCAAAUGAACUAUGAUAGGUUGCAUGGUAGAAAUGCUUGUGAGCCAUUGCCUUGUUGCAACCUAUAACCCUCGCACACCCGCUGUUAGGUUAGAUGCUUGCAUACUACUUGCCACUGCUUCUACUACGCAUUAUAUCUGUGAUGUGAUGCAUUGUGGAGGAUUGGAUGUGAGUGGAUAAGGCACGUGUGCCGAUAACUGGUUAAGAAAUGGAUAAUGGAUAUGGGGAGAUCUUGGCGUGUGUCUUGGGUGUGUGGUGAGGGUCGAGUCGACCGAGCAGGAUUUACGACGAGUCUUGGGACAAGUCUUGCCGGGGAAUGCUACCUGGGCGUUCUCCAUGAGAGAUACCUGUGGCGGGUACAUGUGACAGGGAGAGGUCCCGGAGUGGAGUGUCUUCGUGGGACGAAGCACCGGGAUGGGAGGUGCUGUAUAGCACGGGGUAGCCGGGUGUCCCGUCGAGAGGGGCAUCGGCUGGCCCCUCGUGAAGAUGUCCUGUUCGGUUACCCUAAGGACUGAGAUGUUCUGAGAACCGGUUCGUAGGAAGCCUUACACGCCACUCGCCUUAUUAUGGUGCGGGACGGAUGUACGACCAGCUAGUGCGGUGCCACUACUACUAGGUUGAUAGCGGAUAGUGUAGGGAGGUACGGGCAUGAGGACCCACACCCUCCUAAGACAGCGUAGUGACCUUUGGGGGCCCGGUACUACGCCUCACAGUCUCAGCAUGCCGGUGGUACUCCGGUAUGGCCCCAGUCCUGAGUGGUAGGGUGGCAUCGUAUUUAGUUGGAAGGCAGCCCGGUAUCAGCCUAGACGAGCCGGUUCGUCGAUGAUGGUGAUCUUGUGGUUAGUGUAAACCUCUGCAGAGUUUGGUUGAUCGAUCGAUACAUAUGCCGUCUUCUCGGCUAUGGACCUUUCCUAUGUUCCGCUUCGCUUGACUAGUGAGAGGAGUCCCUUCUAUCUUCCCCUGGGUUUGUGUUGGAUCCGGCGUUGGCCGUUGAGGCAAGGCACGAGCGGGAGUCGUACUUGCCGCCUAGAGAGUGAGAGUGUGGUGAGAUGUGUGUGAUGGGAUGGAUGGAUGGAUGUGUGGAUGAGAUGGAUUAAAACUUGAUGAAUUAUUAUUAUUAAAAUAUUGAUGAACUUGCAUAGAAAAAACUACAGCCAUAUAUAGGCCUCUUGAUCUACCCUUUUGCAUUCCACUUACCACAAAGCUUACGCAAAAGCAUAGGGUGGGAGCCAGUGGCCAGUACAAAUCGUACUGAAAAUUGUUUAGCAGGUUUUGAACGUGAUCUAUGACGAUAACUACGGAGAAUAGAAGGAUUAGGUGGUCUCGUUCCUGCGCUCAAGUUUGGUUCAGAGAUGAAGGCUGCGCCCGCUGAUAAACUACGCCGACUCUGAUGAUUGUCCGUGAAGGAGGAGCCUUCACCGCUGUCGCGCUACAUCGACUCUGAUAAAGACUCGCGUGUGUUUCCGCUAGAAAAACAAUGUAAUAAGCUUGUUAAUCAAGAGUUGUAAAGCAAAUGUGUUGUAAUCUUGUUUCUCACGAUGUAUGACUACGAUAACAGCUGAUAUAUGAUAAUGCGAUGGUUCAAUUUUUGAAUUAUCACAUUAUAAUUCGAAUCUGUGGAUUUUUCCCUUUGUGGAAAAAUCUGGGUCGUUUCAGUUGGUAUCAGAGCCAUACUUGACCCUAGGACGAGACCAUUAGGACCAAACACUAGUUUAGAAGCCAAACAUUCUAUCUUUUGUAGAGUUAUAGAUGCUAACACUUGUUUUCCCCCCUCCGCCUUGAAUUCUGUUGCUAACUGACCUCCCUGUUUCAUAAAGUUGACCGUUGGAAUCUUUUCCCAUACCCGCCCACGCUAGAUCGGUAGUCGUGUGAGACUUUGAAGGUCUGUGAGUCGCCUCAAGUCAACACUAUGCAUUAGGAGUUGUAAUGCUGAUUGAGUGCUUGGAUCUUAUGUUCUUGCGUUUCGUCUGCUUCUUGUUGUUUGAGUGUAUGUCAUAGAACUGUUUUAUGCGAGAAAAACUCUGGAUCCCGUCCAAUCUAGCUGGCUAAACCUAAGACUGUCCCGAAACUAGAUAAGUGACCCUGGCUAACAGAGCCGAAAAAGGGUUUAAAGCUGAUGCAUCAUGUCUUGCCCAUCUAUUUCAAAACUGUUUUUGGCUUCCAACUAAACUUGUCUUCAAAAUUGCCCUUUUGUUGAAAAAGUUUCUCUCCUUUUUGGUUGAAAAAGUUUAUCUCUUUUACAAAACAUCUUGGUUUCAAAAGGAAAAGUGUUUCAAAACUCUCUCAAUAUUCUUCCCUUUUCACAAAUAAAGCAAUUUUAACCCCCCUUUCUCAACUCAAACUCUAUUUAUGAAACGGUUUAAAAACAAGUUAUCUUCAAAAGGUGUUACCAAUCCUCUUUCUGAAAAUCAAAAGUUCUACCUUCAACCAACAAAGUGGUUUUCAAACCAAAGAUCUUUGGCUCAGUUUUGUUUUAAAUGUCUUUGAUUUUAUCUCAAGAGCCAAAUUCCUUUUAAAAUUCAACCUUGCCUUAAAAGAAAAAGGAAUUCCCAGUGAUUUAUUAAACAAAAACCAUUGUGAAAAGUUUUUGUUUAGCAACCUUUCAAAAAAAAGAACGAAAUGGACUUUCAAGUUUCAAAAAUGUUUUGGUUGUGAAGGCUCUAACUUUCAAAAUGCGAAAUGAUUUCUUGUUAUUUUCAAAACUAAUUUGUUUGACUCUAAUAAAAAGGGAGCAAUACCUUGUUUUAAAGAAAAUAGUAAUAAUAAAAUGAAAGAAUUUUAAAAUCUUUUGAUUUGAAAUCUUUUAUAAUAAAACCUUCAAAAUAUUUGGUUCUCAAAACUUGUAUUGAAUUCAACCCUCUGCAAAAGCUCUCUUCAUUUUGAAGUCUCAAAAAAAAAAUUGACUUUGUAAAAUCGCUUUCACUCCAUUUAUGAAACCUGUUUUUUCCGAAAAACAUUCCUUUCAAAAGCUUUUUGCAAAGAGUGAUGCAUGAAAAACUGCUGGUGAAAGCCAACAACCCUAGCUAUGUUUAAGCCUGCCAUGCACUCCUAGAGAGCCAGAUGUUCAUCAACCUGGUGCGAUUCUUGGAUACCCAUCGCCUUAUUGUGAGAAUUUGGAUACCCAACACCAGCGAGUGAGCCUUGGAUACAUCCUGAACAUGACUCGCCCCCACAUGGAAAAGGUUUGUGGAGCCAUCUUUCUGAUAGCAAAACAACUCAGAAGUAAGAAAAGCUUUGGGAACGACACCCGCGUUUCUUCACCGACCGAGCAACGCCUAAAUCUCGGGGACGAGAUUCCUGUAAGGAGGGUGGACUGUAACAUCCCAGAUUUUCACGAAAACCAAAAAUACGAGUUUUUUUAAAAUUUUUCCUGUAAUCGUGUGAAUCAUAUAGUAUUUAGGUCAAACUCGAUCCUAACCCGCUAACAAAUCGUGGCAUACAUAUAGAUUUGUUUGUAGACGGGUCGUCUUAAGUUGGAUCUUGUUAGGGUUUUGAGUUUCUUUUGGAGUGCACAAAUCCGUAGCAAAGCCUUCCCGAAUUUUCGUUGAGCCUAUCUCAAAGGCGAAGCGGAUCCCUUCUCAACCUUUUCGUUGGAGUACGUCUCAAACUCCUUUUGAUCCUUUUGAACUCUCCCUGAAAUUCCCUUCUCUCUCUCUUUGAUCUUAUCUAAAUCUCCUCCGCAAAAUCUAUCUUAAAUUCAUGGUAACUCAUCUCAAUCUCUUGUUGAGUUCUCUCUCGAAUGCCCCUCAUUUUUUUUUCCCUUUUAAAAUUUCUCUCAAAGCCCUUGAGUCAAAUUCGUAAAUGGAAGAUCCAUCUCCUUUCAUGGGCCAAUUCUUUCCUCCUCUUCCUCCCUCCCUCGGCCCAGCCUGGGCACCCUUCCCCCCUGUCCGGCCCAACUCGCGCGCGCCAAGGCCCAGUCUGCCCCUUACCCCCCAGCCAGGUCGGCCCACCUCGUUCCCCCUGUCUCCCCUCCGAGGCCCAGCUCUUUCCUUGGCCCAUCCAGUGCCGCGCUGGCCCAUUCGCUUCUCCCUGCUCUGGCCCAAGUCGUGGCCGGCCCAGCAGCCAGCGCCCCAGCCCCAACCCUAGCAGGGAGCUGGACACCUGAGCCCCAGAGCCGCCGCCGCCGUCGCCCAAGGCAGAGCCGCGCCAGCGCUCGCGCCUGCCACGGCUUCCGUGCGACCCCGCAUCCACCGCCGCGUGUCCCGCUGCGGACACGGACGCCGAGGAUGGCCGCAGCGUCCCUGGAGCCCUAGCGCCCGCGCUAUAAAAGCGGCAGCAGCCGCUCGCCCUUCUUCUACCCGCCGCCGCCGCCAUAGCCGACUCGAAGCUCCGCACCCUCACCAAGCGCCUCGACCCCGACCUCGCCCCGCGCACCUGCACCACCGAGCUCGGUCACGCCGUGACGCCGUCGAUCGCCACCACGAUGUCGCCCGCAACUGCGUCGCCCGAGCGUCUCGUCCUCGGCACCACCUCGGCACUCGCACCGCGCCCUCGCCGAGCAGCAGCAGAGCCGCGGCCAUGGCCUCGCCCUGCCGACGCCGCCAAGCACCACUGCGCCCGCCUCGGCCGUGCCCCUACCUCUGUGUCAAGCUUCAUCACCACGCGGGGGUCAGCCGCGGUGCCGUCCUCGCUGCGCAGCGGCCUCGCCCGGCGACGUCGAGCCCGCUGCCCUCGCCGCGUCGAGCUUCGACCACGGCCGGCCGCGUGGACGCCACAGCCCGGCCGAGCCUCUGCCUCGCCACCGUGGGAGUCGCCGCGGCCACGACGCCUUCAGCCCCGGCGCCCCUCCGCGUCUACGACGGUGUCGACCGCGAGCCCCCGUGCUGUCAUGGAGCUUACCUCGUCGAGCCGACACGCCGUCGACAGAGCCACCGAUGCCGCGCGCCGGGCACCAGAGCAAGCCCCUUCGCCGAGCACCCGAUGCGCCCCGUUGCCGCGGCCACGCCAGGACAUCGCCAUGGUCACCGCGUCAGCGCCGGCCGUGGUG